rnacentral:rRNA from 1 species
AUUGAACGCUGGCGGCAUGCCUUACACAUGCAAGUCGAACGGCAGCACGGAGCUUGCUCUGGUGGCGAGUGGCGAACGGGUGAGUAAUAUAUCGGAACGUACCCAAGAGUGGGGGAUAACGUAGCGAAAGUUACGCUAAUACCGCAUACGAUCUAAGGAUGAAAGCAGGGGACCUUCGGGCCUUGUGCUCCUGGAGCGGCCGAGAUCUGAUUAGCUAGUUGGUGAGGUAAAGGCUCACCAAGGCAUCGAUCAGUAGCUGGUCUGAGAGGACGACCUGCCACACUGGAACUGAGACACGGUCCAGACUCCUACGGGAGGCAGCAGUGGGGAAUUUUGGACAAUGGGGGCAACCCUGAUCCAGCAAUGCCGCGUGAGUGAAGAAGGCCUUCGGGUUGUAAAGCUCUUUUGUCAGGGAAGAAACGGUGAAGGCUAAUAUCCUUUGCUAAUGACGGUACCUGAAGAAUAAGCACCGGCUAACUACGUGCCAGCAGCCGCCGUAA